UACGUAGGUGGCAAGCGUUGUCCGGAUUUACUGGGUGUAAAGGGCGUGUAGCCGGGCUGACAAGUCGGAUGUGAAAUUCCGGGGCUCAACCCCGGACCUGCAUUUGAAACUGUUGGUCUUGAGUAUCGGAGAGGCAGGCGGAAUUCCUAGUGUAGCGGUGAAAUGCGUAGAUAUUAGGAGGAACACCAGUGGCGAAGGCGGCCUGCUGGACGACAACUGACGGUGAGGCGCGAAAGCGUGGGGAGCAAACAGG
rnacentral:rRNA from 1 species